rnacentral:rRNA from 1 species
UUAACACGUGGAUAACCUACCUAUAAGACUGGGAUAACUUCGGGAAACCGGAGCUAAUACCGGAUAAUAUUUUGAACCGCAUGGUUCAAAGUGAAAGACGGUCUUGCUGUCACUUAUAGAUGGAUCCGCGCUGCAUUAGCUAGUUGGUAAGGUAACGGCUUACCAAGGCAACGAUGCAUAGCCGACCUGAGAGGGUGAUCGGCCACACUGGAACUGAGACACGGUCCAG